GAAUUCGCCCUUAGAGUUUGAUCCUGGCUCAGGACGAACGCUGGCGGCGCGCCUAACACAUGCAAGUCGAACGAGCGAGAGAGAGCUUGCUUUCUCAAGCGAGUGGCGAACGGGUGAGUAACGCGUGAGGAACCUGCCUCAAAGAGGGGGACAACAGUUGGAAACGACUGCUAAUACCGCAUAAGCCCACGACCCGGCAUCGGGUAGAGGGAAAAGGAGCAAUCCGCUUUGAGAUGGCCUCGCGUCCGAUUAGCUAGUUGGUGAGGUAAUGGCCCACCAAGGCGACGAUCGGUAACCGGACUGAGAGGUUGAACGGCCACAUUGGGACUGAGACACGGCCCAGACUCCUACGGGAGGCAGCAGUGGGGGAUAUUGCACAAUGGGGGAAACCCUGAUGCAGCGACGCCGCGUGGAGGAAGAAGGUUUUCGGAUUGUAAACUCCUGUCGUUAGGGACGAUAAUGACGGUACCUAACAAGAAAGCACCGGCUAACUACGUGCCAGCAGCCGCGGUAAAACGUAGGGUGCAAGCGUUGUCCGGAAUUACUGGGUGUAAAGGGAGCGCAGGCGGGAAGACAAGUUGGAAGUGAAAACCAUGGGCUCAACCCAUGAAUUGCUUUCAAAACUGUUUUUCUUGAGUAGUGCAGAGGUAGAUGGAAUUCCCGGUGUAGCGGUGGAAUGCGUAGAUAUCGGGAGGAACACCAGUGGCGAAGGCGGUCUACUGGGCACCAACUGACGCUGAGGCUCGAAAGCAUGGGUAGCAAACAGGAUUAGAUACCCUGGUAGUCCAUGCCGUAAACGAUGAUUACUAGGUGUUGGGGGAUUGACCCCCUCAGUGCCGCAGUUAACACAAUAAGUAAUCCACCUGGGGAGUACGACCGCAAGGUUGAAACUCAAAGGAAUUGACGGGGGCCCGCACAAGCAGUGGAGUAUGUGGUUUAAUUCGAAGCAACGCGAAGAACCUUACCAGGUCUUGACAUCCGAUGCAUAGCACAGAGAUGUGUGAAAUCCUUCGGGACAUCGAGACAGGUGGUGCAUGGUUGUCGUCAGCUCGUGUCGUGAGAUGUUGGGUUAAGUCCCGCAACGAGCGCAACCCUUAUUGCCAGUUACUACGUUAAGAGGACUCUGGCGAGACUGCCGUUGACAAAACGGAGGAAGGUGGGGAUGACGUCAAAUCAUCAUGCCCUUUAUGACCUGGGCUACACACGUACUACAAUGGCGUUAAACAAAGAGAAGCAAGACCGCGAGGUGGAGCAAAACUCAAAAACAACGUCUCAGUUCAGAUUGCAGGCUGCAACUCGCCUGCAUGAAGUCGGAAUUGCUAGUAAUCGCGGAUCAGCAUGCCGCGGUGAAUACGUUCCCGGGCCUUGUACUCACCGCCCGUCA
rnacentral:rRNA from 1 species